rnacentral:tRNA from 1 species
GGGGGAUUAGCUCAGCUGGCUAGAGCGCUUGGCUGGCAGUCAAGAGGUCAUCGGUUCGAACCCGAUAUUCUCCACAAGAG